rfam:Salmo salar isolate Sally breed double haploid chromosome ssa06, whole genome shotgun sequence.
GCCAGGUGUAGUGGUGCUGCCUGUAAUCCAAGCAUCUGUGGUCUGUAUCAUGCUAAGUUAAACAGGUGUCCUUGCCAGGUGUAGUGGUGCUGUCUGUAAUCCAAGCAUCUGGAGGCUGUAGCAUGCUACGUUAAACAGGUGUCCUCACCAAGUUCAGUAUCAGUAUGACCACCAGGUCAUCUAAGGAGGGCUGCACUGGCCCAGGUCAGAAAUUAAGCAGGUCAAAGCCCCUGUGCUGUCCAGUAGUGGUUUAGCGCCUGUGAGAAGACGCUGCAGUGCAGCCUUGGCAAGACAUU